rnacentral:rRNA from 1 species
GUCGAGCGGUAGAGAGGUGCUUGCACCUCUUGAGAGCGGCGGACGGGUGAGUAAAGCCUAGGAAUCUGCCUGGUAGUGGGGGAUAACGCUCGGAAACGGACGCUAAUACCGCAUACGUCCUACGGGAGAAAGCAGGGGACCUUCGGGCCUUGCGCUAUCAGAUGAGCCUAGGUCGGAUUAGCUAGUUGGUGAGGUAAUGGCUCACCAAGGCGACGAUCCGUAACUGGUCUGAGAGGAUGAUCAGUCACACUGGAACUGAGACACGGUCCAGACUCCUACGGGAGGCAGCAGUGGGGAAUAUUGGACAAUGGGCGAAAGCCUGAUCCAGCCAUGCCGCGUGUGUGAAGAAGGUCUUCGGAUUGUAAAGCACUUUAAGUUGGGAGGAAGGGCAUUAACCUAAUACGUUAGUGUUUUGACGUUACCGACAGAAUAAGCACCGGCUAACUCUGUGCCAGCAGCCGCGGUAAUACAGAGGGUGCAAGCGUUAAUCGGAAUUACUGGGCGUAAAGCGCGCGUAGGUGGUUCGUUAAGUUGGAUGUGAAAUCCCCGGGCUCAACCUGGGAACUGCAUUCAAAACUGUCGAGCUAGAGUAUGGUAGAGGGUGGUGGAAUUUCCUGUGUAGCGGUGAAAUGCGUAGAUAUAGGAAGGAACACCAGUG